AGUAAUAGAGUAUUUUAGUUCAAAUAUUGAAACAUCCGAACAAAAAAGUGACACCUCAACAUAAAUACAACAUAUAUAUAUUGCUGUUCCAACAUUACAAAGCCUCAGUAUUGACUAAAUGUAAGAUUCUAUUCUGUAUACAAUAUCUCUAUCAAGAUUUCUCAAAAAGUAGAUGUCCCAGCAAAAAGCCUUUUCUAACUAGUGCAUUCACCCCUUUAUACUUACCUUGUAGCACCCCUUUAUACUUACCUUGUAGCUAAUCAAUCACAAUAAAGAUGCUUAGCUUAAGUAUUGAUAAUGUUGAAGGAGAACUUUGAUA
rnacentral:misc_RNA from 1 species